rnacentral:rRNA from 1 species
AUUGAACGCUGGCGGCAGGCCUAACACAUGCAAGUCGAGCGGAGCGGCGGAGGGGUGAGUAAGGGUUAGGACUCUGCCUGUGAGUGGGGGAUAACGUCCGGAAACGGGAGCUAAUACCGCAUACUAUUAGACGAGCCUAGGUCGGAUUAGCUAGUUGGUGGGGUAAAGGCCUACCAAGGCGACGAUCCGUAACUGGUCUGGGAGGAUGAUCAGUCACACUGGAACUGAGACACGGUCCAGACUCCUACGGGAGGCAGCAGUGGGGAAUAUUGGACAAUGGGCGAAAGCCUGAUCCAGCCAUGCCGCGUGUGUGAAGAAGGUCUUCGGAUUGUAAAGCACUUUAAGUUGGGAGGCGUUACUAGCAGAAUAAGCACCGGCUAACUCCGUGCCAGCAGCCGCGGUAAUUC